rnacentral:rRNA from 1 species
UACGUAGGGGGCAAGCGUUGUCCGGAACACUCGGUGCGUAAAGGGCGCGUAGGCGGGAUGGCAAGUCGGUCGUGAAAUCCUUCGGCUCAACCGAAGAACGUCGGCCGAUACUGCCGUUCUUGAGGGAUGCAGAGGAGAUUGGAAUUCCCGGUGUAGCGGUGAAAUGCGUUGAUAUCGGAAGGAACGCCGGUGGCGAAAGCGCGCUGCUGGACCUCUGCUGACGCUGAGGCGCGAAAGCCAGGGGAGCAAACGGG